GGGUCCUGCUUAGGUCAUUAACAACAUUACUAACCACUGUUAGCAAAUUUUUUAAGCAAUUUGUUUUUGCAGUGAAUACAAGGGUGCCUAUGCUACAACUCUUCCCGAAGAAAGGCAGAGAGAGAGACACACUAAUGACCUUAGCGGUAGCUUACUACAAGCUGCAACUCACAGAAGAGCAACUAUUAUGAAUAUCUUUGUAUAUCAACAGUUCUUCAAACCAUACAGACAGAAUUGAGUUGCUGGGGAGUUUGUUCCACCGCUUCUGCUGCUGAUUUUCAGCCUAUUUUGAAUAAAUGACUUUAUCUGUA